rnacentral:rRNA from 1 species
CCUACGGGGGGCUGCAGUGAGGAAUAUUGGUCAAUGGUCGCGAGACUGAACCAGCCAAGCCGCGUGAGGGAUGAAGGUACAGAGUAUCGUAAACCUCUUUUGUCAGGGAACAAAGGCGGGGACGCGUCCCCGGAUGAGUGUACCUGAAUACAAAGCAUCGGCUAACUCCGUGCCAGCAGCCGGGGUAAUACGGAGGAUGCGAGCGUUAUCCGGAUUUUUUGGGUUUAAAGGGUGGGGAGGGGGGUGUGUAAGUCAGUUGUCAAAACCCGGGGGUCAACCCCGGGCCCGCCGUUGAAACUGGCAGUCUCGAGUUGGAGAGAAGUAUGCGGAAUGCGCGGUGUAGCGGUGAAAUGCAUAGAUAUCGCGCAGAACUCCGAUUGCGAAGGCAGCAUGCCGGCUCCACACUGACGCUGAGGCACGAAAGCGUGGGUAUCGAACAGGAUUAGAUACCCGGGUAGUC